rnacentral:rRNA from 1 species
GACGAACGCUGGCGGCGUGCUUAACACAUGCAAGUCGAACGGUGAAGCGCCUUCCUUUUUGGUGGGUGUGGAUGAGUGGCGAACGGGUGAGUAACACGUGAGUAACCUGCCCCCUUCUUCUGGAUAACCGCAUGAAAGUGUGGCUAAUACGGGAUAUUCUGGGUCUGUCGCAUGAUGGGUCUGGGAAAGAUAUUGUUUCGGUGGGGGAUGGGCUCGCGGCCUAUCAGCUUGUUGGUGGGGUGAUGGCCUACCAAGGCGGUGACGGGUAGCCGGCCUGAGAGGGUGGACGGUCACACUGGGACUGAGACACGGCCCAGACUCCUACGAGACGCAGCAGUGGGGAAUAUUGCACAAUGGGCGCAAGCCUGAUGCAGCGACGCCGCGUGAGGGAUGGAGGCCUUCGGGUUGUGAACCUCUUUCGCCAGUGAAGCAGGCCUGCCUCGUUUGUGGGUGGGUUGACGGUAGCUGGAUAAGAAGCGCCGGCUAACUACGUG